rnacentral:rRNA from 1 species
GUGGGGAAUAUUGGACAAUGGGCGAAAGCCUGAUCCAGCCAUGCCGCGUGUGUGAAGAAGGUCUUCGGAUUGUAAAGCACUUUAAGUUGGGAGGAAGGGCAGUAAGUUAAUACCUUGCUGUUUUGACGUUACCGACAGAAUAAGCACCGGCUAACUUCGUACCAGCAGCCGCGGUAAUACGAAGGGUGCAAGCGUUAAUCGGAAUUACUGGGCGUAAAGCGCGCGUAUGUGGUUUUGUAAGUUGGAGGUGAAAUCCCCGGGCUCAACCUGGGAACUGCCUCCAAAACUGCAUGACUAGAGUACGGUAGAGGGUAGUGGAAUUUCCUGUGUAGCGGUGAAAUGCGUAGAUAUAGGAAGGAACACCAGUGGCGAAGGCGACUACCUGGACUGAUACUGACACUGAGGUGCGAAAGCGUGGGGAGCAAACAGGAUUAGAUACCCCGGUAGUCC